rnacentral:ncRNA from 1 species
UCUAUAAAAGUUAAAUGUAGUUUGUUUAAUGGGUAUUAAUUUGGCAUAGUAAAUGAAAAGAUUUUAUGUUAAUUUGGCUUUGGUUAUUAUAUAAGUUGUUAUCAAGUUUAUACAUGCUAGAUUUGAAUAUUGAUCGGUUUAUUUGAAAUUUAUUAUUUAUAUAAUAGUUUAAUAUUUUAUAUAAUUAGUAUGAUUAUAUUAGUAUAGUAUUAAGAUAUAAUGAGUAAAUUACGCAGUAUUUAUUUUUAUACAAUGAAUGAAAGUUUGAUAUAGUUAAUGUAAUUUAAAGGUGGUUAAAUUGGUGCCAGCAUCUGCGGUUAUACCAAUACUUUGAAUUUAUAUUUAAAUAGUGUAAAAUAAAGUAAUAAAAUUAAUAUUAUUAUUAGAAUUAAUGAGUAUAUAGAUUGUAGGUAAAAUUUAAUCUGUAUAAUUAAUUAUACUGUUCUAAAUUAAUAGGUUCUUUGAAAAUAAGGUUUAAGUAGACUAGGAUUAGAGACCCUAUUAUUCUUUAUUUUAAAAAUUUUAUUAUUUAAGUAGUAAGAGUUAUUAGCAAAUAUUUUAUUUAAUUUAAUUUUGUACUUGAAACUUAAAAGGCUUGGCGGUGUCAUAUAUCCUUCCAGGGGAGCUUGCUUAUUAAUUUGAUAUUCCUCAAUUUAUACUUACUUUCUUUUGAAUUAUAAAAAAUUGUCAGUUUGUGUAUUGCUGUCGUCAGUUUAUUUUGUAAAAAUUUUAGAAAAAACUUUGUAAUGAUUAGAUUAUGAUGUCAAGUCAAAAUGCAGCUUAUAAGAAAGGUUUAUAAAGUGAGCUACAGUUUGUUAUAUUUAAUCUGAUUAAACUAUGUAAUUAGUUUAUGAAGUUGGACUUGGUAGUAAUAAAAGUAUAAAUAGUGUGUUUUUAUGAAUUGGGUUUUGUGAUGCGUACAUAUCGCCCGUCGCUCUUGUUGGAAGAUAAGAUAAGUCGUAACAUAGUAGGGGUAGUGGAAGCUGUUCCUGGGUUAAUAAUUAU